CUACCACAUCAGCUCUAGAUUAUUAAAUAUGGUUUUCAGUAGGCGAGCAGAAACUAGAGUUGAUGUGGUCUGUCCAAUGCAAUUUUCUGAAUCAGCACCCCAAAUAACUAAGCCAAAUCUAAAGUUGACCAAAAACUGUUUCAUAACCCUUUUGGUACUAAUGUUGAAGAGUGGACCCUGAUCAAAGUGAUCUCUGGUCAAAGUGGUCCCUGGUCAAGUCAUCUCUUGUUAAGAGGGCCGUGGUCAAAGUGGUCCCUGUUCAAAUGGUCCCUGGUCAAAGUGGUCCCUAGUCAAAGUGGUUCCUGGUCAAAUGGUCCCUGUUCAAGUCGUCUCUUGUUAAGAGGGCCGUGGUCAAAGUGGUCCCUGGUCAAGUGGUCCCUGGUCAAGUGGUCCCUGGUCAAAAAAAAACAUUGGGAACCACUGAUGUAAAGGAAGCUUUGGAUGUCCUUCUGAACUUAAUGCUCAUUCAAAUAGCACACUGGGUGCAAGGAAAGGCCCAGUUUUAUUGUGAAUGUUUGACUGGUGGAAUUGAGAUAUAGUUUUUGUCUCAUCUAAAAAGCUCUUCACUCCUCCAGAAGACUAAAAAGCCAUUCUUUCUCAAUCUUUCCACAUGAUAUCUUUGCAAAUCAAUAUAGGUCUGCCUUUGUCUUACAGCAGUGGUUCUCAACCUGUGGGUCCCCAGAUGUUUUGGCCUUCAGCGCCCAGAAAUCCUCACAACUGGUACACUGGCUGGGAUUUCUGGGAGUUGUAGCCAAAACACCUGGAGACCCACAGGUUGAGAACCACUAGUCUACACCAUCCAUAGAUUGCCCACCAUCCUCAGGUUGUCCACACCUUAGUCUACACCAUUCACAGGUUGCCCACCAUCUUAAGGUUGUCCACUAUCCACAGGUUGUGCGCCCCUUGGUUCUAAAUAUCUCCAGAUAUUUUGGCCUUCAUUUCCCAGAAAUCCUAACAGCUGGUAAGCUGGCUGGGAUUUUGAGAGUUGCAGGCCAAAACAGCUGGGGACCCACAGUUGAGAAAAACUAGUCUACACCAUAUACAGGUUGCCAACCAUCCUCAGGUUGUCCACCCCUUGGGCUACACCCUUCACAGAUUUCCCACCAUCUUCAGGUUGUCCACCAUCCACAGGGCAGACCCAGACCUAAGUAUUUUUCAAGUGUAGGCAAACA
rnacentral:lncRNA from 1 species